AGAGUUUGAUCCUGGCUCAGGAUGAACGCUAGCGGCAGGCUUAAUACAUGCAAGUCGAGGGGCAGUUCUAUCUUCGGAUAGAAGCGACCGGCGAACGGGUGAGUAACGCGUACGCAAUCUACCUCUGACUGGGGGAUAGCCCAGAGAAAUUUGGAUUAAUACCCCAUAACACCAUAGUGAAACAUUUCAUUAUCGUCAAAACUCCGGUGGUCAGAGAUGAGCGUGCGUCCCAUUAGCUUGUUGGUAAGGUAACGGCUUACCAAGGCAACGAUGGGUAGCGGGCGUGAGAGCGUGAUCCGCCACACUGGCACUGAGAUACGGGCCAGACUCCUACGGGAGGCAGCAGUAGGGAAUAUUGGUCAAUGGGGGCAACCCUGAACCAGCCAUGCCGCGUGAAGGAUGACAGCCCUCUGGGUUGUAAACUUCUUUUAUUAGGGAAGAAACCUUGGGAUUUAUCCCAAAUUGACGGUACCUAAAGAAUAAGCACCGGCUAACUCCGUGCCAGCAGCCGCGGUAAUACGGAGGGUGCAAGCGUUAUCCGGAUUUACUGGGUUUAAAGGGUUCGUAGGCGGGACGAUAAGUCAGUGGUGAAAGCCUACAGCUUAACUGUAGAAUUGCCAUUGAAACUGUUGUUCUUGAGUAUAGUUGAUGUGGGCGGAAUGUGGCAUGUAGCGGUGAAAUGCAUAGAUAUGCCACAGAACACCGAUUGCGAAGGCAACUCACAAAACUAUUACUGACGCUGAGGAACGAAAGCGUGGGUAGCGAACAGGAUUAGAUACCCUGGUAGUCCACGCCCUAAACGAUGAUUACUCGACAUUUGCGAUAUACAGU
rnacentral:rRNA from 1 species